UGGGGGAUAUUGCACAAUGGGCGAAAGCCUGAUGCAGCGACGCCGCGUGGGGGAUGAAGGCCUUCGGGUUGUAAACUUCUUUUGCUCUGAACAAGGCAUGCUAAUGGGUGUGUUGAGUGUAGGGGUUGAUUAGCGCCGGCUAACUACGUGCCAGCAGCCGCGGUAAUACGUAGGGCGCGAGCGUUGUCCGGAAUUAUUGGGCGUAAAGGGCUUGUAGGUGGCUGGUUGCGUCUGUCGUGAAAGCUCAUGGCUUAACUGUGGGUUUGCGGUGGGUACGGGCUGGCUUGAGUGCAGUAGGGAGGCUGGAAUUCCUGGUGUAGCGGUGGAAUGCGCAGAUAUCAGGAGGAAUACCGGUGGCGAAGGCGGGUCUCUGGGCUGUUACUGACACUGAGGAGCGAAAGCAUGGGGAGCGAACAGG
rnacentral:rRNA from 1 species